UUUUUUUUUGCAGGAUGGUCAAAGUGAAGAUUGGCUUAAAUAACCAAGUACCAUUUUUGAAACAAAUUAAAGUUUUUUUAAAACAAUUUUUUAGGAUCCCCCCAAAAUCUUGAACGGGAUAUUGAUCCUAAACAACAGUUUACCUUCAAAGAAGCUUACAGUCUCAGGAUGCUGGAUUUGGGGUGAAACCCUCCAUGCAAACUGACUCCUCUGGACUUGCCUUACUCUCAUCUGGAGGCGCACCUGCAGGUAGUUGACAAGGAGCAGAGGACUGUAGUUGCGAUAGAUAUGGCGCUUCCAGUAGGCAGCUGGAAGAUGUGGUCCCAGUGGUAAUGGGAGCAUUAGGAGCGGUAACCAAAUUGGAAGAGUGGCUCCAGCAGAUUCCAGUUUGAACAUCAGGUCCCUGUCCAGAAGAAUGCAAUCCUAGGAACAGCCAAGAUACUGACAGGACCC
ensembl:lncRNA